CCGCUUAUCAGCGUGAUAUAUAUAAAGAGAUCGAUUAAUAUUUUAAUAUAAUUGAGAAUGGAAACAUACCACGUUAAGCUCAGCUUGAGCUCCAGAUUCGCUAGAGGAAGCGUAUAGAGGAGCAUUAAUCGCUGCAAAAUUGUUCCACGAUCCAUUUAAAUCGUACGUCAUAAGAUUAAUAAAAUGAACAUAGUUCGAUACUUCAGAAAUAUGAUAUGAUUUCAAAGCUGAAGAUUUAGCAGCAGCAACCGCUAUACUGAGGAU